rnacentral:rRNA from 1 species
UUUCCGGUUGAUCCCGCCGGACCUGACUGCUAUCGGAUUGAUACUAAGCCAUGCGAGUCUUUGUAGUAAUACAAGGCAGACGGCUCAGUAACACGUAGUCAACCUACCCUAUGGACGAGAAUAAUCUCGGGAAACUGAGCAUAAUUCUCGAUAGAUCAUAAUGCCUGGAAUGGUUUAUGGUUAAAAUGAUUCGUCGCCAUAGGAUGGGACUGCGGCCUAUCAGCUUGUUGGUGAGGUAAUGGCCCACCAAGGCGAUUACAGGUACGGGCUCUGAGAGGAGAAGCCCGGAGAUGGGUACUGAGACACGGACCCAGGCCCUAUGGGGCGCAGCAGGCGAGAAAACUUUGCAAUGUGCGAAAGCACGACAAGGUUAAUCCGAGUGAUUUCUGCUAAAGAAAUCUUUUGUCAGUCAUAAAACCACUGGCGAAUAAGGGGUGGGCAAGUUCUGGUGUCAGCCGCCGCGGUAAAACCAGCACCUCAAGUGGUCAGGAUGAUUAUUGGGCCUAAAGCAUCCGUAGCCGGCUUUGUUAGUUUUCGGUUAAAUCCAUGUGCUCAACACAUGGGCUGCCGAAAAUACUGCAUGGCUAGGGAGUGGGAGAGGUAGACGGUACUCAGUAGGAAGGGGUAAAAUCCUUUGAUCUAUUGAUGACCACCUGUGGCGAAGGCGGUCUACCAGAACACGUUCGACGGUGAGGGAUGAAAGCUGGGGGAGCAAACCGGAUUAGAUACCCGGGUAGUCCCAGCUGUAAACGAUGCAGACUCGAUGAUGCAUUGGCAUAAUAGCCAGUGCGGUGUCGCAGGGAAGCCGUUAAGUCUGCCGCCUGGGAAGUACGUACGCAAGUAUGAAACUUAAAGGAAUUGGCGGGGGAGCACCACAAGGGGUGAAGCCUGCGGUUCAAUUGGAUUCAACGCCGGG